rnacentral:rRNA from 1 species
UUGAAUUGAAGAGUUUGAUCAUGGCUCAGAUUGAACGCUGGCGGCAGGCUUAACACAUGCAAGUCGGACGGUAGCAGGAGAAAGCUUGCUUUCUUGCUGACGAGUGGCGGAC